AUUGAACGCUGGCGGCAGGCCUAACACAUGCAAGUCGAGCGAGCGGCGGACGGGUGCGUAAUGCCUGGGAAUUGCCCAGUCGAGGGGGAUAACAGUUGGAAACGACUGCCAAUCCCGCAUACGAUUGUAGUGCACAGGUGGGAGUAGCUAGUUGGUGAGGUAAUGGCUCACCAAGGCGACGAUGCCUAGCUGGUCUGAGAGGGUGAGCGGCCACACUGGAACUGAGACACGGUCCAGACUCGUACGGGAGGCAGCAGUGGGGAAUAUUGCACAAUGGGGGAAAGCAUGAGGCAGCGAUGCCGCGUAUGUGAAGAAGGUCUUCGGGUUGUAAAGCACUGUCAGCGAGGAGGCGUUACUCGCAGAGGAAGCACCGGCUAACUCCGUGCCAGCAGCCGCGGUAAUAC
rnacentral:rRNA from 1 species